GACGACGCUGGCGGCGUGCUUAAUACAUGCAAGUCGAGCGAGGUUACUGUUUCGGAUCCCUUCGGGGUGAAGAAGCUUUAACCUAGCGGCGGACGGGUGAGUAACGCGUGGGUAACCUACCCCAAAGUCCGGGAUAACAGCGGGAAACCGCUGCUAAUACCGGAUGCCUUUACCUUGGGGCAUCUUGAGGUAAAGAAAGGUAACGCUUUGGGAUGGGCCCGCGUCCCAUUAGCUAGUUGGUGAGGUAACGGCUCACCAAGGCGACGAUGGGUAGCCGGCCUGAGAGGGUGGACGGCCACACUGGGACUGAGACACGGCCCAGACUCCUACGGGAGGCAGCAGUAGGGAAUAUUGCGCAAUGGACGGAAGUCUGACGCAGCGACGCCGCGUGAGCGAUGAAGGUCUUCGGAUCGUAAAGCUCUGUCCUUGGGGAAGAAGGUCUUCGGACUUGACGGUACCCAAGAAGAAAGCCCCGGCUAACUACGUG
rnacentral:rRNA from 1 species